UCUCGCAUAAUUGCUUCAUGCAGCUGUCAUCAGAAAAAUAAAGAGAUUACUUUCAGCAAUAUGCACAAAAUUUCAUGAUCCGGGGUUUAUGAUAUGCAUACGUGGACUUGUAUCGUGUUCAAAAAGCGCUACGACUUCACUACUCCCUACCCCUUUAAACAAUAAGAUUAGAUAUUGUCAUGCCAGAGGCACAAUCCCAAGAUUAUUUGUAUUAUACACUGUUACUAGUGUAACCCAAUGAUCCGGCUCUAAUCAACCAAAGACCUAAUUUGAGUUAAAAGUGUACCCAAUUCUUCAUCAAAACCUCAACAAAGUUCAUCAAAUAUUUGAAAAAUAUCAAGUACUUGAUUAAGUUUCGAGCCAACUCAGUUCUUUGCCUGCAUUUUACCAAUGAUAAAUAGUACCAGUUAUUUUGCCAAUCAAUUGAAGAGGGUUAUGAUUUCACAUAACGGUUUCAUUAAUCAACAACAAUUCUAUCAUCAGUUUGAAGCAUAGUGUCUGUAAUGAUCACCAAAAUUAUUCUUUCCAUUUAUGGUUUAACAUUAAUCUAAGUGAAACUUUCACUU
rnacentral:misc_RNA from 1 species